AACAGACGCUCAUUCAAUCACUGACUCCACUCUAGGAGAAGUUAAAAUAGUUCAAUCGCUGACUUUCGCGAUAAAUCACGCCUCUUGCGUCUUACCUUCCUAAGGUUUGCCAAACUUAGUGUUUGUAGUUCCCAACGACCUAAUGCUAAGCUUUGAUACCAACUUAAUCUGUCACGCCCCGGAUUAAUCGUUUUUUCGGACACGCCGACAAAUCCGCCGUAUACAGAAAAAUUUUCCCUAUAUACGAAGCGAUAGCUGUACCUAUAUCUGUAAUCAUACAAAACUACAACUAGUAGUAUAGAGCUGCUAAACUUAAAAAUAUAGAUAAAUAACAUCAGGUUCUCUAUACAUACAUAGUCUCCAGAUACAUAAAACUCGCUCCAGCGAGGACCUAACAUCAGUAUGUACAAGAACCAAAAUCCAACACUACCUGCGACUGGUAUGUCUCUAGAUCAGCAGCAAAACGGGAAGAGAUCUAACUCGCGACUCCCUUUCCACGAUCCGAAUCCACAACAGCAGCAGCAGCCGAAGAAGAAGGCUCUGCAAAAAAUUUCAACAACUGGGUGUGAGAACUACUGCAAAAAGUAGUCCUCAGUGAGUACCGCUACCGACCUUAACGGCUCACCCACUAAGUCUACAAAAAGUAUGCUCAAAGAUAGUAAAGAAAGCUGGAACAAAUCUACAGCUAUAUGCUACUAUACUAUCACAAUCCAACACUAACUAUCU
rnacentral:lncRNA from 1 species